rnacentral:rRNA from 1 species
CACGUAGGGCGCAAGCGUUUGUCCGGAAUUAUUGGGCGUAAAGGAGUCUGCGUGAGCGGUCUGUUGCGUCCGCUGUGAAAACUCGGGGCUUAACCCCCGAGCCUGCAGUGGAUACGGGCAGACUAGAGGUAGGUAGGGGAGAAUGGAAUUCCCGGUGUAGCGGUGAAAUGCGCAGAUAUCGGGAGGAACACCGGUGGCGAAGGCGGUUCUCUGGGCCUUACCUGACGCUGAGGAGCGAAAGCGUGGGGAGCGAACAGG